AAUACUUUACCAAGUGUCAUUAGCUCAAUUGGUAAAGAUCCUACGUGAAGUUUAGAAGUCGCCGGUUCGAGUGACACUUGGGACGAAAUUAUUAUUACAUGUUGUGGUUUCGGCCUUGAGAGAAUUAUAGAUUUCGGUUUAGAACUUCCUGAUAUUUAAGAAAA
rnacentral:sRNA from 1 species